AUGUUUCAGAUUUUCAUUGCCAUGGCCAAGCAAGUCUAUGAAUGCAAUUGGGCUCCUUCUCGAGUAACCGAAGAGCAGUUAAACAACUGUGUUAAAAUGGGCGCUUUAGCCAAGAAAGAUGUCAUCCACUGGAGGGUCCCUGGCCCGGAAAACCCUCCUAUACCCAAGGAUGGAGAGGUAGUUGUGUUUGCUGAUCACUUGAGUCGAGGUUUUAGCCCUCCCGGUUCAAAAAAUUUCCGGGAUGUACUGGCUAGUUUUCAACUGCGCCCUCAAGACAUCGGUCCAAAUUCUGUGACUAACAUCUGCCACUUC
rnacentral:rRNA from 1 species